AGUUGGCUGUGAACUAACGCAGCUUUCUCCAGUAAUGGAGAUUGAAAAACAAGGAGAAUUGCGGGAAGCCUACGUCAGCAACGAUAUGGUAAUCCGCAGCCGAGCCUCUUUAAAGGAGGAAGGUUCAGAGACUAUCCCGAAAGGGAGUACUUUCCCUAAUCAGUAGGGAUGGGAAGCACCUUGCAUCCUAAAUCAAGGAUGAUGAUAUAGUCCACCCUUUUUGGAAACAAAAAG
rnacentral:ncRNA from 1 species